rnacentral:rRNA from 1 species
CGGGUGAGUAACACGUGGGUAACCUGCCUAAAAGAAGGGGAUAACACUUGGAAACAGGUGCUAAUACCGUAUAUCUCUAAGGAUCGCAUGAUCCUUAGAUGAAAGAUGGUUCUGCUAUCGCUUUUAGAUGGACCCGCGGCGUAUUAACUAGUUGGUGGGGUAACGGCCUACCAAGGUGAUGAUACGUAGCCGAACUGAGAGGUUGAUCGGCCACAUUGGGACUGAGACACGGCCCAA